GACUCCUACGGGAGGCAGCAGUGGGGAAUCUUCCGCAAUGGACGAAAGUCUGACGGAGCAACGCCGCGUGAGUGAUGACGGCCUUCGGGUUGUAAAGCUCUGUUAAUCGGGACGAAAGGCCUUCUUGCGAAUAGUGAGAAGGAUUGACGGUACCGGAAUAGAAAGCCACGGCUAACUACGUGCCAGCAGCCGCGGUAAUACGUAGGUGGCAAGCGUUGUCCGGAAUUAUUGGGCGUAAAGCGCGCGCAGGCGGAUCAGUCAGUCUGUCUUAAAAGUUCGGGGCUUAACCCCGUGAGGGGAUGGAAACUGCUGAUCUAGAGUAUCGGAGAGGAAAGUGGAAUUCCUAGUGUAGCGGUGAAAUGCGUAGAUAUUAGGAAGAACACCAGUGGCGAAGGCGACUUUCUGGACGAAAACUGACGCUGAGGCGCGAAAGCCAGGGGAGCGAACGGGAUUAGAUACCCCGGUAGUCCUGGCCGUAAACGAUGGGUACUAGGUGUAGGAGGUAUCGACCCCUUCUGUGCCGGAGUUAACGCAAUAAGUACCCCGCCUGGGGAGUACGACCGCAAGGUUGAAACUCAAAGGAAUUGACGGGGGCCCGCACAAG
rnacentral:rRNA from 1 species